AUGCUCGCUUCGGCAGCACAUAUACUAAAAUUGGAACGAUACGGAGAUUAGCAUGGCUCCUGCGCAAGGAUGACACACAAAUUUGUGAAGCAUUCCGUAUUUUU
ensembl:snRNA U6 U6 spliceosomal RNA